rnacentral:snRNA from 1 species
AUACUCUGGUUUCUCUUCAGAUCAUAUCAAUCUUUCGCCUACUACAGAUUUCCAUGGAGAAAAACAAUUGAGUCUUUAUUCAAUUUUUUGAAGGCUUGCGAGUGCUACAGCCA